GACGAACGCUGGCGGCGUGCCUGAUACAUGCAAGUCGAGCGGACAGAUGGGAGCUUGCUCCCUGAAGUCAGCGGCGGACGGGUGAGUAACACGUGGGCAACCUGCCUGUAAGACUGGGAUAACUUCGGGAAACCGGAGCUAAUACCGGAUACGUUCUUUUCUCGCAUGAGAGAAGAUGGAAAGAUGGUUUCGGCUAUCACUUACAGAUGGGCCCGCGGCGCAUUAGCUAGUUGGUGAGGUAAUGGCUCACCAAGGCAACGAUGCGUAGCCGACCUGAGAGGGCGAUCGGCCACACUGGGACUGAGACACGGCCCAGACUCCUACGGGAGGCAGCAGUAGGGAAUCUUCCGCAAUGGACGAAAGUCUGACGGAGCAACGCCGCGUGAACGAUGAAGGCCUUCGGGUCGUAAAGUUCUGUUGUUAGGGAAGAACAAGUACCAGAGUAACUGCUGGUACCUUGACGGUACCUAACCAGAAAGCCACGGCUAACUACGUGCCAGCCGCCGCCGUAAAAC
rnacentral:rRNA from 1 species